rnacentral:rRNA from 1 species
GGUUGAUCCUGCCAGCGGUGAUAUGCUUCGAUAAAAGAUUAAGCCAUGCAUGUCUAAGAACUUACCUUAAUACGGUGAAUCUGCGAACGGCUCAUUAAAACAGCUAUAAUCUACUCGAUCUGGACUUCCUAAACGGAUAACUGCGAUAAUUUCGGAGCUAAUACGUGCACCCACCCGCGAGACUUCGUGUUUCGCGGGCACUUGUUAGUUGAAGACCAAUCGGGGCAACCCGUCAUGGUGACUCUGAACAAUUUCGCUGAUCGCAUGGUCUCGUACCGGCGACGUAUCGUUCG